ACAACGGCUCUUUUAGGAGCCACCCACUUAUUCAAAAGUCAUGCCU
rfam:Nematostella vectensis strain CH2 x CH6 NEMVEscaffold_21_Cont3902, whole genome shotgun sequence.